rnacentral:rRNA from 1 species
AACGAACGCUGGCGGCAGGCCUAACACAUGCAAGUCGAGCGGACCUUUCGGGGUCAGCGGCGGACGGGUGAGUAACGCGUGGGAAUAUGCCCUUCUCUACGGAAUAGUCCUGGGAAACUGGGGGUAAUACCGUAUACGCCCUUUGGGGGAAAGAUUUAUCGGGGAAGGAUUAGCCCGCGUUGGAUUAGGUAGUUGGUGGGGUAAUGGCCUACCAAGCCGACGAUCCAUAGCUGGUUUGAGAGGAUGAUCAGCCACACUGGGACUGAGACACGGCCCAGACUCAUCCGGGAGGGAGCCGUGGGGAAUCUUAGACAAAGGGCGCAACCUUGAUCUACUCAUGCCGCGGGAGUGAUGAAGGCGGUAGGGGCGUAAAGCGCUCUCAGCAGGGAAGAGAAAGACGGUACCAGAAGAAGAAGCACCGGCUAACUCCGUG